rnacentral:lncRNA from 1 species
GCUUCCAAUUAUAAUGGCUGUAAGUUUCUUAAAAAUGCUUAGCGUGACUUCUUAUUUACCUGUUGUUCUAUUCUGUGACUCACUGUUUGCAACCGGAUGUGUGAUUUAGUCAUUAGUAGCACCUUCCAAAGUAAAAGGUGGAGGAAUCUCUUUCUCGGGUUGCUUCCAGCUUCUUGGGUUCUGUAUCUUUGAGGCGUGUGUAGGACUGUUUUGGCCAUCCAUAAUGAAGAUGAGAUCCCAAUACAUACCUGAGGAAGCCAGAAGCACAAUCAUGAACUUUUUCCGGAUUCCUCUGAACAUCUUUGUCUGUGUUGUCUUGUACAAUGUAAGUCUCCUCUAGGCUUCCUUUUCUGCGUUAUCCUAUGACCUGUGUCUUGGUAUUGACUAGUUUUUAUGUGCUCUGAAGGUGAAUGCGUUCCCAAUCACAGUCAUGUUUGGAAUGUGCUCUAUCUUCCUCUUUGUUGCUAGUCUCCUGCAAAGAAGGCUCAUGAUGAUUGUUGACAAGCCAAGUAUGUUGUCUCUAUGUUUCAUUUAGCUCUGAGCUAUCUACUUGCCCUAGCAAGCUUUCCACUUACAAUGAGUUUAAUGAUUUUGCAGAGACAAAUGAUUGGACACCUCUUAAUGAAAGAAACACAGAAGAUGAUCCUCUCAACGUUUGAUGAAUAAACUAUACAUUAUGCACAUUCUGGAUUCAAUAAUGGAGACAGAUAGAAGACAAGGAAAAGUUUUAAGGUUGUUUCUUAUGGCAAUAUAGCAUGCAACAAUUCGAACAGAAAGUUCAUAGCAGUGAAGUUUGAUUAUUUAAUUUUCUCGGCUAUUAUUUAUUGUUGUUGUUAGAAUUUAAAGACACGUUUAUUUUUGUAUGCAAUCAAUGAGGCAUUGUUUCUACCAUUUUGUUUGAGCUCCGUUUCUUUGAAGGCUUGCUGUUAAUUCCUUUUUGAAAUUUCAUAAAAUGGUCAAAGGAGGAUGAAAAGAAAACCUGGAAGUGAAUAAACGUUAAAAAAUCUGAAGAAGAACUCAUCAGCCGAAACGCCAGCUUGAAUUAAGAAAGAAUAGAGUCGUUAAUGAAUGCAUCUUUGAACCAAUGCAGCCCAUUAUGUGAGGUGAAAGCUCGAUUAAUCCAUAUCAGCCAUUCUGGAUUGUAUCUCUGCUUUGCUUCCAACUCUUCGGUAAAACAGAACACAGAGACAGCGAAGUUUUCUUCUGUUUCUAGUCAUUUACGGAUGAGCGUGACCGUCGUCAAAAUGAUACCAUUUAUAGUCAUCAAUCAACUGCAGGAACAGUAACACAUAUGCUUAUCCAAAGGACUCAUCAGAAUAAAUAGUGAGAGCAAUCAAGCGACCGACCUUGGCGUGAGCAGUGUAGUGGCCACCACUGUAAUGGUUGCUAAAUGCGUAGAGAUCAUAUAAGCAAGACUCCACGUUCUUGUUCUUGUCGAUAUCGUUAAUUGGGAAGUCCCAUACUCCCAUGUUUUUUCAUAGACUUGUCUAAAAGCAUCUUCAAAAACACAUUAUAUUUUGAACUUAAUUUCAAAAAUAUAUUUUUAUUUUAUAUUAUUAUCUUUAUAUUUUUUUAUAAUUAAUUAAAUUUAUAUAAUGUUUAUAAAUAACUAGAACAUAUGUAAAAUAUUACAAUAAUAUUAAUUAAUAAAAUGUUACACUAAAUAUAAAAGGGAAAAUUUAUAUAAUGUUACACUACGGCUCUGAGGUCAAAUACACUCAUGGAUCUCGAUUAUCAAUCUUUCUUACAUUCGGUAAUGCCAUAUACAUCAGACAUUGCAGUCCUUUAUCAAUAUCUUGAUGGCGUCUCAUGAGCUAUGUCGCCGUGGAUUAUACCACGCACCGGAAGAUAUAUUAGGUCAUGGACUUCGACUACACGAGCUUAUGGACUGCGAUCAUGAAGGCUGAUCUUUCCUUUUUUUUCACUAGCCCGUACUACAAUCUAGUCGGUCCAUGCUAGUGUUAUAGAUUUGAUAGAUAAUCUGUAUCAAUCAACUAACCUCUCUUAGGCUGGUUUAGUAUAAAGUAAACACAAGGAAUUCAAAUUUCUUUUAUAAGUAUAUGGACUGAAUUGGAUUGUCCUUAUACAACUCAUUUACAUAAUAUAUGCAGCUGCUUUGUUUCAGUCUAUGAACAACUUAGGAACAAUGUUAUUCUUUAUCCAGUGAUCCAUAUGCUGCUUACUACAUCAUUAUAUGUCAAUCUAAUUUCUUUCUUAUGACCAGACCUUUAUCAAUUUCGAAAAUAUGUAGCAGCAUCCACCACAUAGGAGUUUAUCUCCUUAUAAUCUGUUCCAUGGUCUCUGUGAGUAUCCUUGUGUAACAAGCUAUGAUCUAAUGCUGUUUAGUAGGAAACAUGAACACUUUUAGACCAUGUGAUCAUGUACCAUAUCUCACGGUUUCUAAACCAUUGAUUUUAUAAAAUGUCCAUUUAUAUUUGGAACUCUUUAUAUUUUUAUGUUUUGUAAAAUAUAUUUAGAGUAGAAUAUAUUAUAUUAUAAUAUAGAUGUUUGAUAAUAGUUUUUUAUCUGUACAUAAUAUUAUAUUUAUAAUUUUAUAACUUGAUGCAAUUUGAUGUAAUUGUAGUAUUUAUAUAUUAACCUAUUGAUAUUUUUGUUUAUUUAUUUAAAAAUGAUUUAAUUUUUUACAGUAGGUUUUUAUGAAUUAUUAUUAAUUUUAUGAUAUUUGGGUUUCUUGAAAAUUAUAUUGUAGCAGAUUAAUAUAUACUAUAUAUUACAGUUUGUGUUUUUAUUUUCAGCAAAAAAUAACAACAAUUCAUUGUAAUUAAUUUAUUUUUUUUUAUUUUAAGUGAAGUGGAAGAUUUGUAAAUAAGAAAGUAAUGCAAUGGCUAAAUGUGUAAAUAAAAAGAAAUAUUUAAUCUGCUAUCCAAGUUUGCAAACGACAUAAUCUGUAAAUGAGAAAAAAAUACAGUGACUAAAUAUGUAAAUAAAAAAGAUAUUUAAUCUGCUAUCAUUGUUUCCAAACAAUUUGCAUUUAAUCUACUAUCUAAAUUUUCAAACAGUACCAAAAGGUACUUCAGUUUAAUAAUAUAGAUGUUUGGUUUAGUUUGGUUAUGUUUAGGUUAUUGGGUUAAACUAAACCAAACUGAAUCCGAAAUUCAAAGAAUCACAAUAUGAAAGACAUGUUAUUAGAUGGAUCCAAACCGAACCGAUACCUUUAAUUUUGGGUCGGGUUCGGGUUUUGGUUUGUAAGCGAGGCCUAGUACAAGUAUAGAUAGUAGAGAAUAGAAAGAUCUGAAUCUCAAAGAAGCACUUCUCCCCAUCUCUCAAUUUCUCCGGAUCCAGCGACAAUGGAGGUGUUCUACUACGUGGUGUUCGGGGUCCUCGGCAUCGUCGUGGCGACGUUGGAGCUGAGCAAGAACAACAAGGAUCGGAUCAACACUUCUUCAGCAUUCACUUCUUUCAAGAACAACUACCUCGUCGUUUACUCUCUCAUGAUGGGUACGAUCCCCAAUUUUUAUUAUCUCUAGAAAAUGUUUGAUUCGAUCCGAUCUGAUCUGAUCUGGUUAAAGUAAUGUGGAAUUUGGGUGGGAGAUUCAGAUCCGUGCUUGUUGUUGGUUUUGAAUUGCUUCACUUGUUAGAGAAGAUAACCAAUUAUUGAAGAUCUGUUAACAAUAAUGUUACCUACUACUAUGGGUUAGAGAUUGGUUGCUAAAACUAAAGUUUCAAACUUUAUAGAGUUUUGAUGAUUGUUUUGUUUCCUUGAAUGGCAGCGGGUGACUGGUUGCAGGGUCCAUAUGUGUACUAUCUUUACAGUACUUAUGGGUAUAGCAAAGGGGACAUUGGGCAGCUUUUCAUUGCUGGUUUUGGUUCCUCUAUGCUCUUUGGUACUAUCGUUGGCUCUCUUGCCGACAAACAGUGAGUUUCCUCUCUCUCGCUGAUGCUUUUAUUAUGUUCUUACACUAAAUGGCAAAUCUCAAUAACUCUCUGCAUCACAGGGGUCGUAAGAGGGCGUGCGUUACGUACUGUAUUACUUACAUAUUGAGCUGUAUCACCAAGCAUUCUCCUCAAUACAAGGUUUUGAUGGUGGGCCGUGUGUUGGGAGGCAUUGCUACUUCCCUUCUCUUUUCAUCUUUUGAAUCCUGGCUAGUUGCUGAGCACAAUAAGGUAAAGUUACCAAAGGUUUAUGUUGAGUUAAAGCCCUUAUCCUAAUUAAAUAUAUUUCUUUUGUGAUGUAUUCAGAGGGGCUUUGAGCAGCAAUGGCUGUCUAUAACAUUCUCAAAGGCUGUGUUUUUUGGAAAUGGUCUUGUUGCUAUUAUCGCUGGAUUGUUUGGGAACUUGCUAGUGCAUUCCUUCUCUCUUGGACCUGUUGCGCCAUUUGACGCUGCUGCAUGCUUUCUUGCCAUUGGAAUGGCUGUCAUUCUAUCUUCAUGGUCAGAAAACUAUGGAGAUCCUUCUGACAACAAGGACUUGAUUACUCAGUUUAGAGGUGCUGCAAUCGCCAUUGCAUCUGGUGAGUUGAUAGUACUUUUGCUUCUCACUAACAUCUAUUGACAUUUGCCUCUUGAGUCUUGAAGAAUGUUUGUAUCUUUCAUCAGAUGAAAAGAUUGCACUUUUGGGUGCCAUCCAGUCGCUCUUUGAAGGAUCUAUGUAUACUUUUGUAUUCCUCUGGACUCCUGCUCUAAGCCCCAACGAUGAGGAGAUUCCCCAUGGUUUCAUUUUUGCUACCUUUAUGCUUGCUUCGAUGCUCGGCAGUUCCCUUGCAUCUCGUCUGUUGUCUCGCUCAUCUCCCAAAGUAGAGAGCUACAUGCAGAUCGUCUUCCUAGUGUCUGCGGCCUCACUAUUGCUUCCAAUAAUAAUGGCUGUAAGUGUUUAAAAAGCUUCUUUUUGUGUUGUUCUAUUCUGUGACUCAUUGUUUGCAAUUAUAUGUCUGUGACUCAGUCGUUGGUAGCACCUUCCAAAGUAAAGGGUGGAGGAAUCUCUUUCUCUGGUUGCUUUCAGCUUCUUGGGUUCUGUGUCUUUGAGGCGUGUGUAGGACUGUUUUGGCCAUCCAUAAUGAAGAUGAGAUCCCAAUACAUCCCUGAGGAAGCCAGAAGUACA